CUUUAUUUCAAAACUUUCACCUACCUUUCAUCUACACCAAGCAUCCUUACCCUAUGACUUUCAUUCUUUUUCAACUGCAAUCAUCACUUUCAUCUAUGUUUCAUCCCUCUAAACCAAACACUAUCUUAGUUAUAUAAUAUGAAGAAUCCUUGUCAUUGAACCACUUAUCAAGCCAUUACGUGGAAUUGAGUUAGUUAAACAAUAAAAGAUAACUUUGGUAUCGUCUAGCUAGCCUUGUUAUUGAACCACUUGUCAAGCCAUUACGCCAAUUUUCAUAUUUCAUCCGUUCUAUUACAUAUAAAAAAGGCGUAAGAUAAUGACCUUAUUGUCUAGCCUUGUGCACAACGAUGUUCAUCAUUCUUCUCAAUCUCUCUCUCUCUACCUUUUACUUUGGGCUAUUGCGAUCUCUUUUUGUAUGUGGUUUUGGGUAUCUCUUGCAUGUGUUAGUAUUUUCAUAACAUUUUUCUUUGAACGUGCAUUGUUGAAUCUCGGUGAUUCCUCUCUCUCUAUUUAUUAUGCUAGCUAAGUGAUUGUUUCGCUGCUACAGUUCUACAUUCUAUUGAAUAUAUCUGUUUUGCUUCAUUAGCUCUUUCUCAUC